UCCGAGGGACAGGUUUUCCCCUUGCAUCCGGAACUAUUUAAAGAAUGUGCCUUCGAGGGCCCUCAUUUAUAACCACAAUGUAACAGAAUAGAUUAUGACUGAUCUUUAUGGCUGAGGAGCAAACCAUAUGUAUGCAGACGCUGAAGCUCCCAACAGCGCGGAGUAACUUUCCCAGCAGAACGCUGAUGUUAUGGCGAACCCACAUUUAGGAGUCUGGCUGUUGCCAGUUCUGUGAAAUUGAAGAAAAAUGAAACCACGCCACAGUUUUGGGCAUGUAAAAGGUAUUGUCACUGACCAAAGGAGGAGCGCGUGGCAUAUCUGUCUGGUGAUAUUAUCUGCCUGUCACAAAAAAAUGUCCACAGUUUUCACUAAGAAAUGGGAUGCAACAUGUUGUUACAUUUGCUAUUUGUUUUAGUAUGGCCUUUAGUGUCACUACAAUGCAAUUUUUGUCAUUAAAUC